rnacentral:rRNA from 1 species
ACUCAAAGGAAUUGACGGGGACCCGCACAACCGGUGGAGCGUGUGGUUCAAUUCGAGACGAAGCGAAAAACCUCACCAGGGCUUGACAUGUAACCGUUUAUUCUGGUGGAAACAUCGGGAAAUCCGCAAGGAUGGUUACACAGGUGCUGCAUGGCUGUCGUCAGCUCGUGCCGUGAGGUGUUCCCUUAAGUGGGGAAACGAGCGCAACCCCUGUCUAAUGUUAAAUUAUUCAUUAGAGACGGUCCCAAUUUUUGGGAAGGAAGGAAGGGUAGACGUCAAGUCAGCACGGUCCUUAUGCCCUGGGCUACACACACCCUACAAUGGCGAAGAACAAAGGGUUGCAAGCCGGUAACGGUAAGCUAAUCUCUGAAAUUUCGCCUCAGUUCAGAUUGGGGGCUGAAACCCGCCCUCAUGAAGUCGGAAUCGGUAGUAAUCGCGGAUCAGCAGGCCGCGGUGAAUACGUUCUCGGGUCUUGUACACACCGCCCGU